AUUUUAGACUCUCAAUCCUGAUAGGUAAAUAGCUCUACUAAAUAGGAACUUAAACUAAAUCCAAAUACAUUAGGAAGAUAAAGAUAAAGUAGGAAUUUAACUAGUCCUGGCUUAAGUAGGAAACAUGAUUGAGUCCUAAAUAGAAUAGAAGCCUAAAAAUUAAUACUGAAACAAUUACUCUUGUUAAACAAGGAGUCCAAGUUGAUCUAGAACUGUUGGAGAUAAAAAAAUAAUUAAAAAUCGUGGCUCCCUUUACUGCCCACCAAAACUUACCUCAAACUUGUUGUUUUUCUCUCGUUUUCACUCUAGAAUGUUUCCUUUGUUUUUUCUUUUGAACCUUCUCCCAUUUUUCAA
rnacentral:misc_RNA from 1 species